GACGAACGCUGGCGGCGUGCUUAACACAUGCAAGUCGAACGGAAAGGCCCUGCUUUUGUGGGGUGCUCGAGUGGCGAACGGGUGAGUAACAAGUGAGUAACCUGCCCUUGACUUUGGGAUAACUUCAGGAAACUGGGGCUAAUACCGGAUAGGAGCUCCUGCUGCAUGGUGGGGGUUGGAAAGUUUCGGCGGUUGGGGAUGGACUCGCGGCUUAUCAGCUUGUUGGUGGGGUAGUGGCUUACCAAGGCUUUGACGGGUAGCCGGCCUGAGAGGGUGACCGGCCACAUUGGGACUGAGAUACGGCCAAGACUCCUACGGGAGGCAGCAGUGGGGAAUAUUGCACAAUGGGCGGAAGCCUGAUGCAGCAACGCCGCGUGCGGGAUGACGGCCUUCGGGUUGUAAACCGCUUUCGCCUGUGACGAAGCGUGAGUGACGGUAAUGGGUAAAGAAGCACCGGCUAACUACGUG
rnacentral:rRNA from 1 species